rnacentral:rRNA from 1 species
AGAGUUUGAUCAUGGCUCAGGACGAACGCUGGCGGCGUGCUUAACACAUGCAAGUCGAACGGAAAGGCCCCUUCGGGGGUGCUCGAGUGGCGAACGGGUGAGUAACACGUGGGUGAUCUGCCCUGCACUUCGGGAUAAGCCUGGGAAACUGGGUCUAAUACCGGAUAGGACUACGCACUGCAUGGUGUGUGGUGGAAAGCUUUUGCGGUGUGGGAUGGGCCCGCGGCCUAUCAGCUUGUUGGUGGGGUGAUGGCCUACCAAGGCGUCGACGGGUAGCCGGCCUGAGAGGGUGUCCGGCCACACUGGGACUGAGAUACGGCCCAGACUCCUACGGGAGGCAGCAGUGGGGAAUAUUGCACAAUGGGCGCAAGCCUGAUGCAGCGACGCCGCGUGGGGGAUGACGGCCUUCGGGUUGUAAACCUCUUUCAGCACAGACGAAGCGCAAGUGACGGUAUGUGCAGAAGAAGCACCGGCCAACUACGUGCCAGCAGCCGCGGUA